rnacentral:rRNA from 1 species
GAUGAACGCUGGCGGCGUGCCUAAUACAUGCAAGUCGAGCGAACAGAUAAGGAGCUUGCUCCUUUGACGUUAGCGGCGGACGGGUGAGUAACACGUGGGUAACCUACCUAUAAGACUGGAAUAACUCCGGGAAACCGGGGCUAAUGCAGGAUAACAUGUUGAACCGCAUGGUUCUACAGUGAAAGGCGGCUUUGCUGUCACUUAUAGAUGGACCCGCGCCGUAUUAGCUAGUUGGUGAGGUAACGGCUCACCAAGGCAACGAUACGUAGCCGACCUGAGAGGGUGAUCGGCCACACUGGAACUGAGACACGGUCCAGACUCCUACGGGGGGCAGCAGUAGGGAAUCUUCCGCAAUGGGCGAAAGCCUGACGGAGCAACGCCGCGUGAGUGAUGAAGGUCUUCGGAUCGUAAAACUCUGUUAUUAGGGAAGAACAAAUGCGUAAGUAACUGUGCGCGUCUUGACGGUACCUAAUCAGAAAGCCACGGCUAACUACGUG